rnacentral:lncRNA from 1 species
AUGUGGUCGCAAUCAAAAGCACUUUUCGGUAACCAAACCAACAAGAGAGAAAAAUACACCUACACAGUCCCAGGUGCAGCCGAACCGGGGAGAAGGCUGAAGGGUGUGGGGUGUUGGCCUCUGCCCCCACCAUCGUGCGGAGGGCUCACUCAGACCGGCGGCUCAGCCCGUCCAUCGUGGGGGCACCGCUGCCUGAUGUCGCCAAGUAAUUCACUAAUCAACUCCACAUGAGGUGAUAAAUCUUUCCAGCAACAAUCCACCAUCACCCCAGUCGUGAAAAGAAGACCAGAAGCACCACCCUUUCAUCAUCUCCAGGAGCUGACGGACACCGCGAGCUCACUGCCAACAGAGCAGUGCAGGACUUCGGUGCCACUUCCCGAAAAUGGAAGAGGGAGAGCUGUCGCAGGUGGGGUGGGAUGAUCUUGGCUGCAGCCAGAGUCUGUGAUCCAGGCCAUAAAUAUGUCCACAGACUCCUCCGAUUCAUCAGCGUGUGUGUGUGUGUGUGUGCAUGCGUGCAACCUUUUAAAGAGAUUAGGAACAUAUUCCAGUGUUAGGUGUCCAUACUGGAGAUUUUAUUCCUGCUUUUCUGGGUAGGAAAAUUGAGAGUUGUGCUCUUAGCUUUCAUCAUCUAAGUACAGAAACUUUCCUGUAGAAAUAAUCACUAGAAUAAUUAGUUUAAUGCUUUUUUCUCUCCUUUCUCACUUUUACCAAAUAUCAGUUAGGGCUGGGAUGAAUUUUCCCUUCCAACAAAUACCCAUCAAAUGCGUUUUCUCCAGCCGUCUCAGGUAGCAACAUCCAUCCAUCAGCACACUUAGUGAACGCCAUAGAUAAUUUGAGUAAUUAUUCCAUGAUCUGUCCGCAUUUUCAGUUUGUGAUUGUAAACUGCUAUCUGAGCAGGAAAGGACAUGUAGUAUCGAGAGAUCCCGGCUGGGAAUUAAAGAAGACUUUUCCAAUGUACCAGACCAGAAAGGGAGUAACAGAGUCUAUGCUCUUUCAUUGCAUGUGUUCAGCCAUCAAAUUGUCACCAUCUAGCAAGCUCAAAGGCAUAUAUUUCUACCCUGAAGAAUUCUAAACAUGUAUGUCUUGCUCACAAUUUCUUCUGAACUUCAGAACCAUGACCAAUCACAUAUGCAUAUGUAAAUUAACUUGCACAAAACCUACCGAUGAUCUUGUUCCUCAUGUCCUCCAUUCUGGUCUUCUCAAUAUUUUUUAAGGUUUAUUUAUUUAUUUG